rnacentral:rRNA from 1 species
UACGGAAGGGGCUAGCGUUGUUCGGAAGUACUGGGCGUAAAGAGCGCGUAGGCGGCUUACCAAGUUGGGGGUGAAAUCCCGGAGCUCAACUCCGGAACUGCCUUCAAAACUGGUAGGCUCGAGUCCGGAAGAGGGGCGUGGAAUUCCUAGUGUAGAGGUGAAAUUCGUAGAUAUUGGGAAGAACACCGGUGGCGAAGGCGGCGCCCUGGUCCGUUACUGACGCUGAGGCGAGAAAGCGUGGGGAGCAAACAGG